rnacentral:rRNA from 1 species
UACAGAGACUGCAAGCGUUAUUCGGAUUCACUGGGCGUAAAGGGUGCGCAGGCGGCUAGGUGUGUCAGAUGAGAAAUCCCGGGGCUCAACCCCGGAACUGCAUCCGAUACUGCCGUGCUAGAGGAUUGGAGAGGUAGCUGGAAUUCUUGGUGUAGCAGUGAAAUGCGUGGAGAUCAAGAGGAACACUCGUGGCGAAAGCGAGCUACUGGACAAUAUCUGACGCUGAGGCUCGAAGGCCAGGGUAGCGAAAGGG